GUCUACAGCCAUGCCACCCUGAACGUGCCCGAUCUUGUCUGAUCUCGGAAGCUAAGCAGGAUCGGGCCUGGUUAGUACUUGGAUGAGAGACCACCUAGGAAUACCAGGUGCUGUAGGUG
rnacentral:rRNA from 1 species